GGAAUUGUUCGCAAUGGGCGCAAGCCUGACGACGCAACGCCGCGUGGAGGAUGAAGGUCUUCGGAUUGUAAACUCCUGUUGACCGGGAAGAAUGGGCCUUGAGCGAAUAGCUCGAGGCAAUGACGGUACCGGUUGAGGAAGCCACGGCUAACUCUGUGCCAGCAGCCGCGGUAAGACAGAGGGUGCAAACGUUGUUCGGAUUUACUGGGCGUAAAGCGCGUGUAGGCGGCUUGGCAAGUCGGAUGUGAAAGCCCACGGCUCAACCGUGGAAGCGCAUCCGAAACUGCUUCGCUUGAGUCUCGGAGAGGAAGGUGGAAUGCUUGGUGUAGAGGUGAAAUUCGUAGAUAUCAAGCAGAACACCUGCGGCGAAGGCGGCCUUCUGGACGAUGACUGACGCUGAGACGCGAAAGCGUGGGGAGCAAAC
rnacentral:rRNA from 1 species